rnacentral:rRNA from 1 species
UACAGAGGUGGCAAGCGUUGUUCGGAAUUACUGGGCGUAAAGGGCGCGUAGGCGGUUCUGUAAGUCCCGCGUGAAAUCCCCCGGCUCAACUGGGGAACUGCGCGGGAAACUGUGGGGCUUGAGUUCGGGAGAGGGAAGCGGAAUUCCGGGUGUAGCGGUGAAAUGCGUAGAUAUCCGGAGGAACACCGGUGGCGAAGGCGGCUUCCUGGACCGACACUGACGCUGAGCGCGAAAGCUAGGGGAGCAAACGGG